CGUGACUGUCGCGUCCUACUUCCUCUUUUGACGUUUGCUCAGGCUAUUUAUUUAUUUUUCAGCCCCAAGUGCCGACCGUCUGUCGGAGAAAAACUUAUCCUAUGCGGAAAGCGGGGACUGGAUCUUUCCGCGAAGUCUUCCAGCAGGUGGAUCGGCCAUCUGAAGUCCUGUCCUGAAACAUGAGCGACGGCGGUUCGCAGUACAGCUAUCAUUCCAGCAAGGAGGAGAUGGAUGAGCUCGAUACGCUAUGUUGGUACCACUAUGACCUCUCCCGGCACGCAGCAGAGGCCUUGCUUCUGUCAAACGGGAAGGACGGGAGCUACCUGCUCCGAAACAGCCAGGAGGGACCCAACUACCUGGCCCUGUCUGUCCGGGCAAAGGAUUCAGUGAAGCACUUCCACGUAAAGCGGGAGGGUGACGGUUAUUCGUUCGGCUUCAACGUGUUCCCCUCUCUGCAGAAUUUCAUCGAGCACUUCGCCAACCAGCCUCUUCUGGGGAGUGACUCAGGCACUCUGAUGGUGCUGAGGUGUCCGUACCCUCGGAGGGUAGAGGAGCCCUCCAUAUACGAGUCAGUGCGGGUGCACACGGCCAUGCAGACCGGCCGCACAGAGAAAGACCUGGUACCCAACGCCCCCUCCCUGGGCACGAAGGAGGGCUAUCUGGUAAAGCAAGGUGCUGUAGUCAAGAGCUGGAAAACAAGGUGGUUUACCUUAAACAGGAAUGAGCUGAAGUACUUCAAAGACAAAAUGUUCGAUGAGCCAAUUCGAACCCUCAACCUCACGUCCUGCUCUGCGGUUCAGUUUGACUACUCCCAGGAGAGAGUGAACUGUUUCUGGAGGUACUUCAUGGUUGAUUUUGAGGUAUGCUUUGGAUCAUUGUCUUGCUGGAACACCCAACCUCUUUUCAACUUUUAGAGUGAAAGAAGGAAGAUUUAGCAGGAGAGACAGAGGAAUAGAAAGAUGAUAGGAGGGCAUGGAAGGAAGCCAUAUCACUGGGGAGACAGGACUUUUCUCUCUGGUUGGUUGUUGUGCAGCUCCUUGUGAAGACCAGGUCAAGAGGGUUGCCUGCUUUGUUGGUGGGAGGAGAAUGUGUGAGGGUAAGGUCAAAAGAAGAAAGGAGGGAGGGAAAGGUGGACUGGGUGGACUCAGGUUGAAGUCAUCCAGGAGGAUCAGGGGAGUGCCAUUGUCUGGUGAGGAGCUAAGGAGGAUGUCCAUCUCAUCCAAGAAGCUCCCCAGAGGACCUGGAGGGUGAUAGAAAACAAUAAUAAAGAGUUAUGGUUUGGUGUUUCCUGAGAGGACGUUUUACCUGUGUGCUAAGACAGGCGUGGAGGCUGAUGAGUGGAUAAAGAUACUGCGCUGGAAGCUGUCACAGAUACAGAAGGGCCGGUAACAGAUCUGCAAGCAGCGGCACUUUUGAGGAUCGGCCUGUAGAGGGCACACUUUCACAGUUCCAUACUAACAGGAGCCUUUUUCUCCUUGGAGGAUCUGUUGGGGCUCAUUCCAAUCACUUAUUUUUCUCCUCUUUUUCUUUUUCUUUUUUACUUUUCUUGCCCCUAGCUCCACCCACCGAGUGGCUAGGAAAAGAUGAAAGAAAAGAUAAGUAAAGACGGGGAAAGCGAGAAAAUGCUAAUUAGGCAAAUGGAAUGUCCUUGCUCCUUCAAACAUCAGUUCAAAGCCAUAUCCAUUACAGAAGUGGCAGCUGGGGAGAGCUGUAUCCACAGGUUGAUCAUUUAUACAUCAAGCUUUCCGCAGAAAUACUUCCGCAAUGGAUGCGCUGAUAUUUCCUUGCUCAAAGGGAUGUUUGGGAGUUCCUAACUUCUACUUCUAGCUCCUAGAAGGAACAUUUGAGGGAUUGGAAUGUCCUAAAAGAUGGCAGACUGAUUGAUUUCCAGAUCCAGAGCAAGGAAAUGACAAGUGGAUAAAUAUAAGUCAUUGGAAUGAGCCCUGUUACUCACCAAACCUGUGCUGUGGUAACCCCUGUCCUAUCAGACAGAAGUACGUUUGGGUAGGAGGGGCGAACAGAUCACUGCUGAUGUACCAUUGGAGUAGACAGUCGUAAUGUGACACUCCUGAUGUUUUAUGAUGUUGCUUGGAUAAACUGCCUUCAGUUUAGUGUAGCCAAGUUUGGCCGGCUCUCGUAGAGUGGCAUAAUUGGCUCACUGCUCCAGAGGGAGGGACUUGGCAGGGUUAGCUGAUCGCCGCACAAUAAGCACCUUGGGCGCCUCGGAAUCACGGUCACAAGCAUGAGACGAGACGGCUUGAAGAAGGCGUGUUGCUCUCCUUCGGGCCGCCGAGGGACAGGGUGUGGGCGGUGUAUCUAACACUAACUAUAAUUGGAUUAGAUGGGCUACAAUUGGCUGCCAAAUUGGGAGAAAAAGGGAAAAAUCUGAAAUUUAAAAAUUUUAAAGAGUAACUGAGGCACCUCCUUUGGUUAAAAAACAGUGUCCUUCCAAACUUUUCACCACCACUUUCCUGUGUUUAACAACAUUGGAUCCCCUCACUGUCACGGUUCCCUCUGUAUCUUUAGAUGUGCUAUAUAUAAAAAAUACUUUCAUACGUGCAUCUCUGUGCAUUGUCUUGGAACAGCUUACUUAAUAAAAAAUUAUAAUGGAAUCUGAA